CUGAAUUCAGCUCUUGUUGUGUUCUAAUUGGUGGAUUGUGUGCAUUCGCGGUAAUAUUAUGUUUUAAAAAGCUCUUAAAACUAUAAAAAUGCUUUUAUUGUGAGCUCGUGGUCAGACUGCAGGCGCUGAUGCAGGUGAUUUCUCUCUGGUCCUUCUCACUGAUCUCUGGCCAGACAUCAAUUAUUAAUGAGAGCUGACCCGGUAAUAAUAACAUAUGUUGGUUCAGCUUGUCAGUGUGAAUGAAACGUGUAUUUAUUUGUCCGUUCUCGCCGAAAAACCAUCACCGUAAAAUCUCUCGCACUCAUAAACACUCAUUUUCAUCUCUAUAAUAUGUUCUUCUAAUUGUUUUGUGUUAAUUCGCCGCUGUGUUUUAAUGUAAAAGGCUGUAGUUUCUGUAUGUAGGCUUUUUUCCCUUCAAGUGUUCAGAAGUCUCGCGCUGUCAGACAGGCUGCAGCAAAUAUUUCAUUUUAACACUCACAAACAUCUGAAUUUAGCUCUUGGUGUGUUCUAAUUGGCGGAUUGUGUGCAAUCGCCGUAAUAUUUUAUUUUUAAAAGGUCUUAAACAAGAAUAAACUCGUUUGUUGUGAGCUCUUUGAGACAGCACGCGCUGUUCGGAGCGGUGAUUUCUCUCUCGUCUAUCUCUCUGUUCUCUGGCCAUACAUCAAUUAUUAAUGAGCCCUGACCCGCUAAUAAUAAGAUAUGUUGGUUUAGCUUGUCAGUGUGAAUCAAAUGUAUUUAUUUAUUUGUAUUUUUAACCGAUUUAAAAGUGAAACUAAGCGAGACUCCUCCCUCUCAGUCCCGGGAAUUGCUCCUGUAGAGGCGCAAUUUCUCUCAGACAAUGAAAGUCUCAG
ensembl:lncRNA